rfam:Postia placenta Mad-698-R POSPLscaffold_267_Cont7789, whole genome shotgun sequence.
GGCAAGAUGGCCGAGCGGUCUAAGGCGCUGGAAUCAGGAGGGUUUAUCACAUGAUGAACUUAAAUAAUCCAGUCCGAAAGGGCGUGGGUUCAAAUCCCACUCUUGUCA